AUACGUAGGGGGCGAGCGUUGUCCGGAAUGAUUGGGCGUAAAGGGCGCGUAGGCGGCGCGGUAAGUCUGGAGUGAAAGUCCUGCUUUCAAGGUGGGAAUUGCUUUGGAUACUGCCGCGCUUGAGUGCAGGAGAGGUUAUCGGAAUUCCCGGUGUAGCGGUGAAAUGCGUAGAGAUCGGGAGGAACACCAGUGGCGAAGGCGGGUAACUGGACUGCAACUGACGCUGAGGCGCGAAAGUGUGGGGAGCAAACAGGAUUGGAUACCCUGGUAGUCCACACUGUAAACGAUGAAUGCUAGGUGUAAGAGGUAUCGACCCCUUUUGUGCCGGAGUCAACACAAUAAGCAUUCCGCCUGGGGAGUACGGCCGCAAGGUUGAAACUCAAAGGAAUUGACGGGG
rnacentral:rRNA from 1 species